UGAUUACUGUUAAUAAAUUCUUCCUUCCUUUCUUUUUUUAGCACCAGGGAUUGAACCCAGGGCCUUGCAUAUGAUAAGCAAGCGAUCCACCACUGAACCACAUCCCUAGUCUUCAUAAAUAAUUUCUUAAACAUUAUUUUAAGGCACUAUCAAAUAUAGAGUCUUACUUACCAUACUGGGAAAGAUGAAAUUUAUCAUUGUGCCAUAAAUGCCCUGGAAAGCAAAGAAAAUAUUAUUAUUUAUUAUACCUCCAUCCACAGGGAUCCUAAGUGCCAAAUGUAAUGCAUCAGCCGCAAAACAAAAAUGAGGUAAGAGAAGGAAAAGAAAAUAAUCAAAGACAAAGCACGAUCUGACAUAUGAGGAAAAGAAACUUUGGUCAAGCUUCGGCAGUAUAACAAUUCUAAUGAGAAGUGAAAGCAUGAUAUGUUACAUUGGUGAUACCGCUUGGGUGACUAUUAACCAUCUACAUUGUUGGACGAGUCAUCACUUUAGCAUUUUGCGAAAAACUGGAGCAUCUUUGGCAUAUAUGGAGAUGUACGACUGAAGCAGUACUGACUCACAUAUAGAACUUAAGGGGAAAGACCAAAAAGCAUCAUGGCCCCCUCUCUCUUACCACCAUCAGUUCAGAAAAGUGCAAGACGUUCAGUCAAAAUUUGCUUCCAAUUCAGAGGUAAGAGCGAUACAUGAUUAUAUAGACAAACAUGCUAUUUUUUUAGCAAAACUAAAUGAUAAAAUUUGAUUCGAUUAUUUUUUGAAAAGCUGUUAUCAAAAUCAUUACGAUUUAUAUAAAUGAUAGCCCUUUGAAUCUUUUAGUAUGAUACUUUUCUAUAUUAAUCUAUACAACUUGGGGUGGACAGUACAUUUUUCCCAACUUUGCAAGAAUCAUAAAUUCUCCAAAUUUGCUUUAUUGAUUCAUAGGUCCUGCAUGAUCUUUUCUUGUAUGGCUUGAAGUAGCUCAUGGUUGAUUUUGGCAUAGCGUGC
rnacentral:lncRNA from 1 species